rnacentral:lncRNA from 1 species
CCUUGGCUUCUAAGGUUUAUAUUGGAAAGAGUAAUGCCUAACCAUGACUACUCGUGUGACAUUAUUGAUACCAAUAAGACCUCCACCAAGUGAAUGGGCUUGCAAGUCAACUUACUAAGGAAGAACUCCACACAAGUUAACAAGACUAUGCCGUUCUCCUAUCAUAAGUGCACUCGAGUUCGGGUAUAUAACUCAUCUCACAAGAAACCACCAAGCAUACAAGCAUUUAAUAUAUCAAGCAAUU